UACAGAGGUCUCAAGCGUUGUUCGGAUUCAUUGGGCGUAAAGCGUGCGCAGGCGGCUUUGCAAGACAGAUGUGAAAUCCCCGGGCUCAACCUGGGGAACUGCAUUUGUGACUGCAUGGCUGGAGUGCGGCAGAGGGGGAUGGAAUUCCGCGUGUAGCAGUGAAAUGCGUAGAUAUGCGGAGGAACACCGAUGGCGAAGGCAAUCCCCUGGGCCUGCACUGACGCUCAUGCACGAAAGCGUGGGAGCAACAGG
rnacentral:rRNA from 1 species